rnacentral:sRNA from 1 species
ACUAGGUGUGGUGGAGCAUAUCUGUAUUCCUAGUUACACAGGAAGCUCUGAAGCAGGAGGAUCACUUGAGCCCAGGAGUUCAAAUUUAACCUGGGAAGCAUAGUGAGACUGUGUAUAUA